CCCCCGCUAAGGUGUCGUCCAACACCGUGGUGCGCAUGGCUCCCGUCGUUCGGGCUUCGGCCAGCAGUGAUGCCUUGGAGACCGUUGGAAAGGCUCUCAUUGCCGCAUCCAGCUCAUUGUUGUUGGCUGCUUCCGCCAAUGCCGUUACCGUGAAGAUGGGUGCUGACGAUGGUACCCUAGGUUUCUACCCUAACGCGAUCUCCGUUGCCGCUGGUGAGUCCAUUACCUUUGUGAACAACAAGGGUUUCCCCCAUAAUGUGGUGUUCGAUGAGGAUGCUGUACCUGCGGGCGUCAAGGUCGAGGAAAUUAACCACGAGGAAUACGCUAACGCGCUAAACGAGAGCUUCUCCAUCAACCUCAAGACCCCAGGAACAUACGAGUUCUACUGCGAGCCCCACCAGGGUGCUGGCAUGAAGGGAC
rnacentral:lncRNA from 1 species